rnacentral:rRNA from 1 species
AGCGAACGCUGGCGGCAGGCCUAACACAUGCAAGUCGAACGGACCCUUCGGGGUUAGUGGCGGACGGGUGAGUAACACGUGGGAACGUGCCUUUAGGUUCGGAAUAGCUCCUGGAAACGGGUGGUAAUGCCGAAUGUGCCCUUCGGGGGAAAGAUUUAUCGCCUUUAGAGCGGCCCGCGUCUGAUUAGCUUGUUGGUGGGGUAAUGGCCCACCAAGGCUACGAUCAGUAGCUGGUCUGAGAGGAUGACCAGCCACAUUGGGACUGAGACACGGCCCAAACUCCUACGGGAGGCAGCAGUGGGGAAUCUUGCGCAAUGGGCGAAAGCCUGACGCAGCCAUGCCGCGUGUAUGAUGAAGGUCUUAGGAUUGUAAAAUACUUUCACCGGUGAAGAUAAUGACUGUAGCCGGAGAAGAAGCCCCGGCUAACUUCGUGCCAGCAGCCGCGGUAAUACGAAGGGGGCUAGCGUUGCUCGGAAUUACUGGGCGUAAAGGGAGCGUAGGCGGACAUUU